UUCCGGUUGAUCCCGCCAGACCCUACUGCUAUCGGGGUGGGACUAAAACAGGCGAGUCGAACGACUUCUAGCCAUGAUGAAGUCGUGGCAUACGGCUCAGUAACACGUGGCUAACCUACCCUUGAGACGGAGACAACCCCGGGAAACUGGGGCUAAUCCCAGAUAGAUGAGAACUCCUGGAACGGGUUCUCGUCCAAAAGGCAUCAAGGUCAUGCUUCUUGGUGUCGCUCAAGGAUGGGGCCGCGGCCGAUCAGGCUGUUGGUGAGGCAACGGCUCACCAAACCUAUAACCGGUACGGGCCGUGGGAGCGGGUGCCCGGAGAUGGGAACUGAGACAAGGUCCCAGGCCCUACGGGGCGCAGCCGUUGCGAAAACUCGUCAAUGCACGAAAGUGUGAACGGGCUACCCCGAGUGCCGUCCGCUGAGGAUGGCUUUUCUCUGCUGUAAGGAGGCGGAGGAAUAAGGAGAGGGCAAGUCUGGUGUCAGCCGCCGCGGUAAUACCAGCUCUCCGAGUGGUGGGGACGAUUAUUGGGCCUAAAGCGUCCGUAGCCUGCCCCUCAAGUCUCUCGUUAAAUCCAGCGAUUCAAUCGUUGGACUGCGGGAGAUACUGUUGGGCUAGGAGGCGGGAGAAGCCGACGGUAUUCCCGGGGUAGGGGUAAAAUCCUAUAAUCCCGGGAGGACCACCAGUGGCGUAGGCGGUCGGCUAGCACGUGCUCGACGGUGAGGGACGAAAGCUGGGGGAGCAAACCGGAUUAGAUACCCGGAUAGUCCCAGCUGUAAAUGAUGCGGGCUAGGUGUUUGGAGUGGCCACGAGCCACUUCAGUGCCGCAGGGAAGCCAUUAAGCCCGCCGCCUGGGGAGUACGGCCGCAAGGCUGAAACUUAAAGGAAUUGGCGGGGGAGCACCACAAGGCGUGAAGCUUGCGGUUCAAAUGGAGUCAACGCCGG
rnacentral:rRNA from 1 species